UAUUUCUACAAAAAAAACGAACAACAUUUCCUCGUUUUUCUUUGCAAUCCACUUUAUUUUGAAAAAUGCAUUGCUCAACACCCGGAGCUGACAACCUUCCAUUCAAUCCAUGCUCCGUGGCUCUGGAUCUAUUGAGCAGCCUAAAAAACACGAAGCAAAAACCGGGGAUUCGGUCUGCCUUCCUCCGCUGUCAGUCAGACACAUUAAGACAACCGUAGUCCUUUUUUUUACAGACGUAUCUAGCAGUCAUUAACAGUGACGUUUAAUCUACCUGUGCACGUUCUGCGGCUGUUGGUUAAAUGUGACGUUUGAGGACAACACAGACAAUCGGGCGCCGGGCUUGUCGCUGCAGCUUUGCGUCAAAAGCAGCUAAAGCUAAACCGUGGUGCGACAAGUCAGCAAGAAAUACGCGUUAACAGCCACGUUUCCAGACAGACAGCACACAGGUUAUUUUGGGUACGGUUGCUGUCGUGCACAUGCUGCGUUUUAGUGGUGUGAGCUAAUCAAACAUCUGUGCAAAAGCUGUCAGAAGAAAUAGCAGAUUUAAACUCGGUAUUUAGGGGUCGCUUUUUCUCAAUUACCAGCUUUCUGACUUGGACUUUAACUACACAUUUUGGAAAACAGGUUAACAAAUAAUAGGAGAUUUAUUUAAUUGCGAAACAUUUUGUUGGAUUUAAGAGGGGCCUCAUAGCGUUUAAUACAUGAGGCCCAGUUGACAAAGAUGGACCUGAAUUUUUAUUCGGAUUUAACGGACGGUACCGGGCAGCACGACGGUGACCCAGAGUUUCUGGACCCGCAGGCUUUCAAUGGAUUUGACUCAGACAACAAGUUUCCUGGAGGCAGUGACAACUACCUGACCAUCUCCGGGUCCGGGCAUCCCUUCCUCUCCUCCUCAGAGUGUGCCACUAAACCCAUUGACCUCUUCAACCUCGCUGGAUCUGCUGGUGG